rnacentral:rRNA from 1 species
GACGAACGCUGGCGGCGUGCUUAACACAUGCAAGUCGAACGGAAAGGCCCUGCUUUUGUGGGGUGCUCGAGUGGCGAACGGGUGAGUAACACGUGAGUAACCUGCCCUUGACUUUGGGAUAACUUCAGGAAACUGGGGCUAAUACCCGAUAGGAGCUCCUGCUGCAUGGUGGGGGUUGGUAAGUUUCGGCGGUUGGGGAUGGACUCGCGGCUUAUCAGCUUGUUGGUGGGGUAGUGGCUUACCAAGGCUUUGACGGGUAGCCGGCCUGAGAGGGUGACCGGCCACAUUGGGACUGAGAUACGGCCCAGACUCGUACGGGAGGCAGCAGUGGGGAAUAUUGCACAAUGGGCGGAAGCCUGAUGCAGCAACGCCGCGUGCGGGAUGACGGCCUUCGGGUUGUAAACCGCUUUCGCCUGUGACGAAGCGUGAGUGACGGUAAUGGGUAAAGAAGCACCGGCUAACUACGUG